GACGAACGCUGGCGGCGUGCUUAACACAUGCAAGUCGAACGGAAAGGCCCUGCGUUUGUGGGGUGCUCGAGUGGCGAACGGGUGAGUAACACGUGAGUAACAUGCCCUUGACUUUGGGAUAACUUCAGGAAACAGGGGCUAAUACCGGAUAGGAGCUCCUGAAGCAUGGUGGGGGUUGGAAAAAUUCGGCGUUUGGGGAUGGACUCGAGGGUUAUCAGCUUGAUGGUGGGGUCGUGGCUUACAAAGGCUUUGAAGGGUAGCCGGCCUGAGAGGGUGACCGGCCACAUUGUGACUGAGGUAGGGCCCAGACUGCUACUGGAGGCAGCAGUGGAGAAUAUUGCGCAAUGGGCGGAAGCCUGAUGCAGAGACGCCGCGUGCGGGAUGACUGCCUUCGGGUUGUAAACCGCUUUCGCCUGUGACGAAGCGUGAGUGACGGUAAUUGGUCAGAAAGCACCGGCUAACUACGUG
rnacentral:rRNA from 1 species